GCCCCCGUACCCCAACCGGCAGAGGGAAGCCUCUUAAACAGGCCCCAGUGUGGGUUCGAAUCCCACCGGGGGCACUA
rnacentral:tRNA from 1 species